rnacentral:rRNA from 1 species
AGUGGCAGACGGGUGAGUAAUGUAUAGGAAUCUACCUAGUAGUACGGAAUAAUUGUUGGAAACGGCAACUAAUACCGUAUACGCCCUACGGGGGAAAAAUUUAUUGCUAUUAGAUGAGCCUAUAUUAGAUUAGUUAGUUGGUGAGGUAAAGGCUUACCAAGACAAUGAUCUAUAGCUGAUCUGAGAGGACGAUCAGCCACACUGGAACUGAGAUACGGUCCAGACUCCUACGGGAGGCAGCAGUGGGGAAUAUUGGACAAUGGGCGAAAGCCUGAUCCAGCCAUGCCGCAUGAGUGAAGAAGGCCUUUGGGUUGUAAAGCUCUUUCGGUGAGGAAGAUAAUGACGGUACUCACAGAAGAAGCCCUGGCUAACUCCGUGCCAGCAGCCGCGGUAAUACGGAGAGGGCUAGCGUUAUUCGGAAUUAUUGGGCGUAAAGAGCGCGUANGCUGGUUAGUAAGUUAAAAGUGAAAUCCCAAAGCUCAACUUUGGAAUUGCUUUUAAAACUGCCAACCUAGAGAUUGAAAGAGGAUAGAGGAAUUCCUAGUGUAGAGGUGAAAUUCGUAAAUAUUAGGAGGAACACCAGUGGCGAANGCGUCUAUCUGGUUCAAAUCUGACGCUGANGCGCGAAGGCGUGGGGNGCAAACNGGAUUA